UACGGGGGGGGCAAGCGUUGUUCGGAAUUACUGGGCGUAAAGGGCUCGUAGGCGGCCAACUAAGUCAGACGUGAAAUCCCUCGGCUUAACCGGGGAACUGCAUCUGAUACUGGAUGGCUUGAGUUCGGGAGAGGGAUGCGGAAUUCCAGGUGUAGCGGUGAAAUGCGUAGAUAUCUGGAGGAACACCGGUGGCGAAGGCGGCAUCCUGGACCGGCACUGACGCUGAGGAGCGAAAGCGUGGGGAGCGAACGA
rnacentral:rRNA from 1 species